GUUUCUGUAGUGUAGCGGUUAUCACGUUCGCCUCACACGCGAAAGGUCCCUGGUUCGAAACCAGGCAGAAACA
rnacentral:tRNA from 1 species